CUGAAUAGGCGGGCCUCGAUCCNAC
rnacentral:tRNA from 1 species